AACUCCAGCCUGUCUUAGUGGCUUUACUUAUCUCUCUAGAUAACUAAGAUUCAAGGACAACAGGAUCAAGGCAAGUCAGGGUGUAGCUGGCCCAAUUACCUUUGGAGAUAAGGCAUUCAUCACUGAAUAAAAUUUACAUUUUUUAUGAAGAACAGCUACAUAGACAUGAUCUCUAAGAAACUGAAGGACAUCUGACAGUCAGAAAAAUCAUCAUGGUACUAUUAGAUGAAGAAUGCAAAAAGAAGUCUUCUUUACUACUUAACGUGGACUGAGAAGAGCAGCACAUAGCGUAUUAGAAAAGUUCCAAAGGUCUGUCCUGAAACAACAUGACACUGACCUACGAGAGUUUUUCCCCGGUCAAGUAUCCAGCGACAUUCAAGAUGCCAAGGUCAAUCGCAAAAGCAUGUUCAAACUCUUUCAUUAUAACCAACAGCAUAUAAAACAUCUCAGGAGCCACUGCAGUGAUAAUAAUGAAAUACCAAAGAAAGGUUUCUGUUUCAGCUGAUUCAUGUGAAACUUUAGAUUUACUGAAUUUUCUUUAUUUAAAGUUCAACCCUCCAUUUAAUAAAUGACUAUGCUGUAAGCAUAUCAGUAACUAAUAUGCAAUUAAGUAAGAUGCAACAUACUUAAAAUAAAAAGCUCAAACAGGAUUUUAGUAUGUUUAAACUACUGCAGAUGAAAUACCUCACA